CCGCGCGGGCCCAGUCGGGUCGCGGCGCGGUCGGGGAGGAGGUCGGAGUCCGCGCGGCCUGUACAGCAGCCUAGACCGCCUCUCGCGUGGGGACGGUCGCCCAGGCACCAGGCGAAGGACGGGCGGGGCACUGUCCCGCCUCAGCCUCCCCGCGCCUCGCCGCGCGGGUCACGUGACGCAGGCGGCCCCGCGCGCCCCCAGUCGACGCCGCUCAGCUGGCGCCUCGCUUCUGCUCUGACAGCCGGCGUGCGGAGGUCGGCCCGGGGCUCCCGCCUGCCCGGAGCCUGCCCAGGCCGCUGCGCGCUCUUCUGACCCCGAGUGUGCGUGUGCGGGCGCCGGCCCUCGAGUCCACUGGAGAACCCCACACGCUCACAUCCUCAGUUUUAAUGUUUUGGGGCACUGGGGAUUCCACGGGGGUCUUUCCACUGAGCUGCGCCCUAGCCCUUUCUUAUUUAGAGACAGCGUCUCCCUAAGUGGCUAAGUUGCCCAUGCCAGGCUCCACCUGCGGUCUUCCUGCCUCGGCCUCCCGGAGUGCGGGAUGACAGGCGUGUGCACCCCACCCGGCCUUCUCAUUUGCAUCAGGUCCUUGCUAGGUGGCAGGAGGCCUACUGCGUGCGAUGCUGUGUGACUCACUGCCUACCUCAGGAGGGCCCUUGCACAAACGUCCCCUCUUCUGAGGACCCGCCCCUUCCUGGAGCUCCACCUCAGAUGUGAGCACCGGUCCGGAUGGCAUCGAGGGCUUUCCUGAAGCUUGGCUGAGGCCUUUGAGACUGCAGAUGCCGCCGUGAAUGCCUGUGAGCAGAUAUUUGUGUGCCGCUGUCUCCGGCCCCGUGGGGCAUGGGUGGCUCACCCGGCUCUGAGGAAUCACCAGACUCUUUCCAGCAGUGGCUGCGCCUCCAUGGUCUCCACGGGCAGUGCGUGUGGCGCCGAUUUCUCCACAUCUCCAUUUACUUUUUAAAGUUCCCGGCGGCACGGCACCUCGUGGUCAGGAGAGGGGCUGAGGCCCACGGAGAGAAACUCAAGGGCGCAAGUGCACAGCCUGCGGCCAGCAGGGGGCGGGGCCCGCAGCUGGCCCUGCCCUGGGGACCGGUGGGGGUUGCUGUUCUCCGACAGAGCCAAGGCCGUGGUCAGCUCUGGAGAGCGCCAUUAUCCUGGACGUGGGGGACCGGGGUGUGACAGCGAGACAGGACUGGGGCCAGGAGAGGGGGAGCUUAGGCCUGGAUCCGAAGCCGCAGGCAGGAGAGGGCCCUGCGGGGAGGGAGAAGAGGCAGGGUUAGCCCUUCCAACCAGGCAAAGCCGGAAGAGGCCUUCAGGGUGCUUGAGUGUGAGUUAAGUACAGUGUCACUGUCCAGGGGGGUGGGAAAAGUUCCACGAUCAAACAGUUGUGGGAACGCUCUAUAUCAGUGGUGGCAAACCUUUCAUUUCUCCUUUUUAAAUUUUCUGGUUUUCUGAGGCAGGGUCUCUCUAUGCAGUUCAGGUUGGUCUUGAACUCACUAGGUAGCUCAGGCUGGCCUAAACGUGGGGAUCCUCCUGCCUCAGCCUCCCGAGGGCUGGAAUUGCAGGCAUGUGCUACCUUUCAGAGCUUUCAGUGAUAACAAACAGCUGGCUGCAGUAGGUAGGUUUGCCACCCUCCGCCCAGUGCACCUUUCCUCUUGGAGAUCUGCAGUACCCUUUACUCCCCGAGGGCUCUUGGGUGGUGAGCUUUCUUGAACGGGGCGUUUCUCGAAACCAUGUGACCCCGUGUUUUCUUCUCUGCUGUGCCCUCUCUACGCCUGUUAAGUAUAACAGAAUCGACAUCUAGAGCCAGGCGUGGGGGCGCACGCCUGGGAUCCCAGCGCUCAGGAGGCCGAGGCAGGAGGAUGGCUGUUUGAGGCCAGCCUGGGCUACGAGUGAGACCCUGUCUCAAAAACAACAAAACAAAAACCUCCGGUCUGCUUUCCCGGAAGCCCACGGCUAGGGUGACCAGCUGAGGGCAGGGAGGGCGGAAGAGCCGGGAGGAGCGAGUUCAGGCCUUGCCUCGGCAAAGCCCGCCCACCACCGUCUUCCUGCCAUCACACCCGUGUCCCGGGGGCGCCAAGAGUCAAGGCCGGCCCCCACCUGCAAAAGCGAUUGGCUGAGGGAGGGCCACGUGACCAGAGCCGGCCAAUCCCAGUGAAGUUCAGGCCUGUAUAGGGCUGCUGCGGGUGUCAGGAAGCCCUGAGUCUCACAGAAUGUGGAUGUGGAGAGGAAACUGAGCUGAAACAGGGGCUGGCUGAGAAAAAAUUCACAAAGUUAUGAUCACAGAACUGUGAUCAAUGAAUAUUUGAACCCCUGGAGAAAUGUUCAGUGUACACUGUGCUCAGCUAUGUAUUCCAGGCUGGCUGUAAACUUGCAGCAAUCCUCCUGCCUCAGCCUCCUGGAUGCUGAGAUUACAGGUGUGCACUACCACGCCUGGCUAUUGUGCAUGAAUUCACCAGUGGAUUAAAUGCUUCAUGAGAUGAUCUCAAUCUAAGAUAUGCAUGCGUUCAUGAGAUAUCAGUAUACAUGGAGAGCAUGUGUGGACACAGCACCUACGCCCAAGUUGCACUUUUACUAUCAUGAAGAGAAAGAGCCUAUGUGCAUUGUUCAGGGUGCUUUCCCACAGCCCCGAGGCUGGAAACCUUGUCGUUCCCAUCUGACUGAGGAGGGUGAGGCAGGGCAGUGGCUCCUUGUGGCUGUCUUCGGUAGGGAGCCCUGCAGACGUGAGAAGGGUGACUUUUCCCCGGCCUCAAUAGGACGGGUGUUCUGCACUUGCUUGGUUGUUUUUCUGCAAUUUAUGGUUGUUUGGGACAGGGGAGCUCAGCUUUCUGCAAGGCGCCAAGGGUGAAUGUUUCAGCUCCGAGUGCCCGGCGGCCCUGCCACACGAGCCCACUACCCCCGGCGGCAGCAGGCAGCUCUCCAGGCCGUGCUCCAGUGACACUUUGUUCGUGGGCCCAGGCAACUUUCACGUGGCAGCAGGAGUCUUCUUUCGUCCUUCCCGGCAACCAGGUCGAGCGCACAGCCCACCCUGCCCUCGGGUCCUAGCCUGGCAGGUGCCUCAGGCAUGGACAGUGCGCAGCGUCUGUCUCAGCAUGUCUCUGCUCAGAGUCUGGAGAUGCCCCCCAGGAAGGAGCUGUCCCUGGUCAUGGCUGGCGUUGUGGCCCAGGCCUGGCCUCUCCCAGGCCCCCAGUGGGCAGGCGCAGGUGGCCAGUUUUGCUGCAGAGCCGGGCAACACCGGCUGCCCAAAGUCCUGAGGGUCCCGGCGGGAGCACAGCCAUGUUGGGCCUGGAGCGGCUCGUGAAGUUGUCGCUGGUGACCCUGGUCCUCCUGGGAUGGGCGGGCGCCUGUGUCCCCCCGAGAAGGGCACCGUGGAGUUAGGGCAUCCACAGCUCUGGGCCGGGCACUGACGGUUAUCCUGCUGUCUCCUCUUUUCCACGUGCACUCCGGCUGGCGGCUGCUCCUCAGUGAGACGUGAGCUCCUCCUGCUGCUGUGGGGAGCUGGGUGUUCGGGGCCUGGGGAGAAGGUGGAACAGGAGGAGUCAGACUGCUGGGAGAGGACUUGGCGGCCCCCGCCAGGGAGGCUGGGCAGAGAUCCUGGGUUUGCUGAGCCUUCAGGUGCUGAACGGUGUUGGGGGUUGAACAGGGAAGAAAACAGACAAAAUCUGUGUCCAGAUGAACUACCAUUCCAGUGAGGAGAAAGGAAAGAAACAAAGAAAUAGCUUGCACUCGGAGUGGUGGUGCACAGCUGUGAUCCCACCGUUUUGGAAGGCUGAGGCAGGAGAAUGAUGAAACGAGUGACUGCAAGGAAGGUGAGUGGAGAUGCCGCGCCCUCUCCCAUCUGGGCUGUCUGAGGGCCUGGGAGAGGGGCUCUUCCUGCACUGGGGGGCAGGUGCCCCUGAAAACUGCACAGUGUUUUCAUGUACCCUGCUACCCGUGAGCCCUCCUCUCCCCGGAAGUGACCGGGUAAGUCCCGAGUAACAGGGUUAUGGAGACCAGGCAGGAAGGGCCCAGCGCCUGUCUGUGGCCGGGUCCGCAGUGGGGCUGCCUGCGAGGGCUGAGGACUCCGCUCCUCCUGAGAACCCAGGGCCCGAUGAUCUGACGGAGGCGGCGACGGGGCGACGGGGCAUGGGCGCCCCUGCAGGUACAGAGGAGCAGAGGCCCAGAGUUCUGACUGCGGAGACCGGAACAAACCAACUGCUCCCGGACCUGAGCCUCUACCCGGGGUUCAGAGCGGGGUGAGCCCGAGCUCCUCAGCUGCGGGCUGCGUCUGGUGGUGACGCUCGUUUUAGUCCCUGUGCCGCCGCCUACGGCUUUUUACCUCUCCCGUCGGCGCCUCUGCCCGCACCGAGCACUCAUCUCAGUCAGUUUGGGAAACCCACAGCUAACUUCAGCCCAAACGAGCCCCAAACCAGCGUCACUGCAGAGCUGCAUGGAAAGGGGGAGGGACCCGGUGCCGAGACCGAAGACCCUGAGAGGCAGCAGGAAGAAGGCGGCGUUAAAGGACAUCGGGGGUCACUCGUGCUCUGCAAGCCUGCCCUGUGCACUGCGUGGUGACAGAGCUGCUUUGCCACGUGGAGACCAAGCACCCGUGUUGAAACACAGGCUUUCUUUUCAGAAGAAAAACGAACCGCGAACACAAGGAACAGAAGCAGUUCCUGGAGGCGACCCCGUCCUCAAACGCGCCGGCUCCGGGAGCGCCCUGCUCGGUGGCCACCGCGCUGCGAAGCUGAGGAGCCUGGGGUCGGGGAGUCGGUCCUGCCUGCCGAGGACGCGCCCCACGCACCCUCAGGACAGGAGAGAGGCCUGUGCCGGCCACCACCCCUGGGAAGCCACUCCGGAAGAGGAACAGCUGGAACCUCCUGAAGUGUACAUACAUGGUGCUCACCUUCCUGUUUGUGUCCUACAACAAAGGGGACUGGUGCUACUGCCACUACUGUAACCUGGAACUGGACACCAGGUAGCUGCUGUGAGGAGAGAGUCGCAGUCCCACACCCUUGACUUCCAGCCACGGCCCGACAGGCCAGGGAAGCGUGUGAUGGUGGUGGGCCGAUGCAGAACUGGAGGGAUUCACUCCCGAACUCACUCAGUACACUGCAUUUUUGGAUUUUCGAAAUUUUGGUAAAAUACACAGAACAUAAAAAUUUUCCUGGCUGGGCACCGUGGCGCACAGCUGUGAUCCCUGCACUCUGGGAGGCUGAGGCAGGGGACGGCAGGAGCAAGCCCAGUGGGGGCGACUUAGCAACUCAGCGAGACGCUGUCUCCAGAUAAAAAGUAGCAAAGGGGCUGGGGCUGUAGCUCAGUGUGAAGGCCUGAGAUUUGGCCUCCAGAAUAAAAACGUCCCACUCGUGAGGGCACACUCACAGCCGUCACCACCACCUAAUCCAGAGCAUUCUCAUCGUGCCCAGAGGGAGCUCUGCACCCUUAGCGUGUUCCUCCUCGCAGGCCUUGGGAGGCCCUCUGCCUGUCGGCUCCCCUACGCUGGACAUCUCAUGUCCAUGCAGUGCGUGACCUUUCUAUCAAGCUCUG
ensembl:lncRNA